AGAAAGGCCUGAGGCAAAUAAGUACUGCUAAUACUUAUAUCCACGGUUAAACUCCGUGGCUAUCUC
rnacentral:tRNA from 1 species